UACGGAGGGGGCUAGCGUUGUUCGGAAUUACUGGGCGUAAAGGGCGCGUAGGUGGCCUUCUAAGUUGAACGUGAAAUCCCUGGGCUCAACCCAGGAACUGCGUCCAAGACUGGGAGGCUUGAAUCCGGGAGAGGGAUGCGGAAUUCCAGGUGUAGCGGUGAAAUGCGUAGAGAUCCGGAGGAACACCGACGGCGUAGGCAGCGCCCUGGACGACACCUGACGCUGAGGCACGAAAGCUGGGGAGCGAACAGG
rnacentral:rRNA from 1 species